CCUUGUUUAACUAUUAUUUACUCAAUACUUGUUUUCUGUAUGAAGGAUUUCAUGGUUGUUGUUUUCAACUGAAAUGAAAGAUGCAGUUAGUUAUUUGUUGGCACUGGUUGUGGAAGUGACACUGUCAAACCAAGCAGUGUCCCAGAACAUGGUCCACUGUGUCAUGCAUGUUCUGAUUUCUGCCCAUGUCAUCAGAACCACACUUUCAAACUUGGAAUUUAACGGCUGUCUGUGGUAUUAUAGUUAUCCGACUUAUAGAUUAAGCAUUUAAAGAACAUUACACAUCCAGACCAAAAUGGGAGUUUAAAUGUUUUUUUUAUUGCAAAGUCCCGGAAUGCACCUUUAAAUGGACUUCUUGAGGCUUUCAAAAACCAAGAUUUAGCCAAUGAAAAUGCUUGACAUUGUCAUGUGAUAGAAUGCUAAAUUGUCCCACUAGAUAAACUGGCAAACGUUAGCCCUAUGCUAACGCAAGUGACUAUUUGCUGUCAUUCAUUCCUCAUCGGACUACCAAAGAGUACCACACAAAUGCCAUUUGCUAUAAUAUCAGCUCAGCCAGCAGAGGUCUGUCUACAUUUUGUGUUCUAAAAUAUACUGAAUAUCCACUAGGGGGAGACAUAAUUGUUUUUAUCUAUUUCUCUUUGUGCCUCCAUGCAGUGUAGCUUGGAAACUGUUUUUCCUCUGACCAACUGGCUCUACAAAAGGGCAGGGACACAGCUCGAUGGGGCUGAUGAUCGCCGGACCACCUCCUCUCUCAGAUGACGGCAUCACCAUGGCAACAGAUGUUAAAGAACAAUGAUUUUCUGGUCCCACUGUCAGUCUUCUAGCCCUCCGGUGGCACUAACAUGGAAGCUAACAGGACGAUUCCUCCCUCCCCCGAGCACACAGCGUUUCAUUUUUACAGACCAGCAUAUUAUCCUGCAUGGCGGGUUGUAUCAUGCUCAUCCUCCCGUCUUACCCUCAUCCUCCCGUCUUACCCUCAUCCUCCCGUCUAACCCUCAUCCUCCCGUCUAACCCUCAUCCUCCCGUCUAAGCCUCAUCCUCCCUUCAUGCUCAUCCUCCUGUCUUACCUUCAUCCUCUUUUCAUACUUAUCUCCCCUUCAUCUCCUUAUCCUCCCUUCUUCCUUCCCUCAUCCUAUCUUCAUCCACUCAUUCUCAAUCCCCUCCAUAUUAUCUAUUUCGUUAAAUUGUGAUGAGUGUCAGAGGAGUGCUUCAGCCACAAGUAUCCUUCAGUCUAAUACUACCAUAUCCCCUGUCCUCC
ensembl:lncRNA